UCUAAUAUAUCUUUUUGAAACAGUAUGUGGAUGGGGGCCGUGGAGAUCUCAGUCCCUGAAGAACAGGAAGCUCUGACAACAUGGUGCCCAAAACCACAGGUAACUCACUGGAGUGAGAAACAGAGAGCAGAAGAAAUAGGAAAAGGAUCUCAUGGGGGAACGAGUCUACUGCAUUUCUGCGUUCGAGAAACAGGCCGACGGCAUUCCUCAGCGUCUGAGAAAACCGGACGUUUGCUCCAUCUCUUUCCCCCCCCUCCUCUCCCUCAGUCUCUAUGCUGUCGUCUUUCAAGUGGGUUUUAUCCCCUCCUGUGGAGCGGGUCAUGUGUCUGGCUGCCAGAGAGAGCCAUGUGACGUUAAUCCAACGUCCUCAUCCACCCCCCGCCCCCCCAACCCCCUUCCCACUCACCACCACACAAUCCACCCCCCCAGCUCAGAGAGGAGGGGGGCUGAGGUCUCAAAGUUAUGUGGGAUUUAUGUGGCCACAAGGAUAGUUAAGUGUUUAUUUGUUUAUUAAUUUACCCAUUUUAAUGAUCUAUCAUGUGGCCUCAUUUGGAGAUGAUCUGUGUUCUGUCACAUAGCAGGGACAUCUCGUCGAGCUCCAGUGAUAUACCAGCUCAAUACUACGGGAACGUCCUCCAGGGUGAACUCAGGUUGUGGAGGACUGUAACACGCAACCCCCCUCAAACCCGCAGCCAGCAGCGGCGCACUGAUCGAUCCGCAUUGAGCUGUUCCACUUUCCAGCCAAUGCACGCGCGCCCGUCUCGAUUGGGAAGGAGCCCGAAACGGAGGAAAAUUUCUGCCGCCCUGGCGGUGUCACUUCCCCACACUUCAGCUGGCCGCCUGCCAGACACACAGGACGCUCACAAGAGGUGGAGUGGACUCGAAGCGACGAGGAGCGACUGGACGGACGGACAAAUGGACCCACAGCAAAAUGGCUCUUCGGUCACAGAGAAAGUCAUCAACACAGAAACACGACGAUUAUGGUAACAAGUCCAGUCCCUUUGAUUUCUGCAAAAAGAUUAAUAACUCUUUAUAUGC
rnacentral:lncRNA from 1 species